rnacentral:rRNA from 1 species
UACGUAGGCAGCGAGCGUUGCUCGGAGUUACUGGGCGUAAAGGGUGUGUAGGCGGUUCUUUAAGUUUGGUGUGAAAUCUCCCGGCUCAACCGGGAGGGUGCGCCGAAUACUGAGGGACUCGAGUGCGGGAGAGGAAAGUGGAAUUCCUGGUGUAGCGGUGAAAUGCGUAGAUAUCAGGAGGAACACCGGUGGUGUAGACGGCUUUCUGGACCGUAACUGACGCUGAGACACGAAAGCGUGGGUAGCAAACAGG